CCUACGGGAGGCAGCAGUGGGGAAUAUUGCGCAAUGGGGGAAACCCUGACGCAGCAACGCCGCGUGAGUGAGGAAGGACUUCGGUCUGUAAAGCUCUGUUAAUGUGGAAAAAAUGGUAGUUGGUCUAAUAGGCCGAUUAUUUGAUGGUACACAUAGAGGAAGCACCGGCUAACUUCGUGCCAGCAGCCGCGGUAAUACGAAGGGUGCAAGCGUUGUUCGGAUUUAUUGGGCGUAAAGCGCGCGUAGGCGGACCUGCAAGUCAGAUGUGAAAUCUCGGGGCUCAACCUCGAAACUGCGUCUGAAACUACAGGUCUAGAAUCUUGGAGGGGGAAGGGGAAUUUCUCAUGUAGGGGUAAAAAUCCGUAGAUAUGAGAAGGAACACCAGAGGCGAAGGCGCCUUCCUGGACAAGUAUUGACGCUGAAGGCGCGAAAGCGUGGGGAUCAAACAGGAUUAGAUACCCUGGUAGUCCACGCUGUAAACGAUGAAUACUAGAUAUUGCAGGAUUUGACCCCAGCAGUGUCGUAGCUAACGCGUUAAAGUAUUCCGCCUGGGAAAGUAACGGUCGCAAAGACUAAAAACUUCAAAAGGGAAAUUUGACGGGCNGAGAGNGCGAGAGACACGAGGAGGAG
rnacentral:rRNA from 1 species